rnacentral:rRNA from 1 species
AUUGAACGCUGGCGGCAGGCUUAACACAUGCAAGUCGAGCGGGCGAGGUUGCUUCGGUAACUGAGCUAGCGGCGGACGGGUGAGUAAUGCUUAGGAAUCUGCCUAUUGGUGGGGGACAACAUUCCGAAAGGAAUGCUAAUACCGCAUACGCCCUACGGGGGGAAGCAGGUGAUCUUCGGACCUUGCGCGAAUAUAUGAGCCUAAGUCAGAUUAGUUAGUUGGUGGGGUAAAGGCCUACCAAGGCGACGAUCUGUAGCGGGUCUGAGAGGAUGGCACGCCACACUGGGACUGAGACACGGCCCAGACUCCUACGGGAGGCAGCAGUGGGGAAUAUUGGACAAUGGGCGGAAGCCUGAUCCAGCCAUGCCGCGUGUGUGAAGAAGGCCUUUUGGUUGUAAAGCACUUUAAGCGAGGAGGAGGCUACUUGGACUAAUACUCUAGGAUAGUGGACGUUACUCGCAGAAUAAGCACCGGCUAACUCUGUGCCAGCCGCCGCCGUAAUAC